GCCCCUUUGGAUCUUUUUGCGGUCUGGGCUUGCUGUUCCUCUCUACAGUAGUCAGGAAGCCCUUACCCCAAAAAGUAUCUGCGGGAGGCC
rfam:Sus scrofa isolate TJ Tabasco breed Duroc chromosome 18, whole genome shotgun sequence.